AUGCGCCAUCUUUCCAUCACCAAUGACAAAAGAAAUAGAUCGGAGAUUCAUUUGUUUUCUCUCUUCCAUCAUUCACCUUUCUGUCAUCUCCGCGAUACCCUUCCAUUUCACGACCAUCACCCUUCCGUGAACAACAGCCGCAGCACAAACUCACCGUCGCCAACAUCACUUCCGCGACAUCCUCAUCACCUGUUCUCCACCGUCUUCACCCAACAUCCGUAUGAUCAUCCUCAGCAACCCACAGCAACAUCCGUAACGGUCUAA